rnacentral:tRNA from 1 species
GAGGGUACAGCUCAGUGGUAGAGUGCGUGCUUAGCAUGCAGGAGGUCCUGGGUUCAAUCCCCAGUACCUCCU